AAUAGAUCAUAAAAAAAGAGAUAAGAAAAGUGAGAACCAGAGACUUGUAUUAUCUUGUGAGCUUUGAUGAUGAAUAAAAAGCAAAGAACAAUUCUAGGACCCUCCUUUUCUUUAUACACAAUUAAACAUACCUUAUUUUGAAUAUAUUAUAUGGAAAAUAGAUAAACAAUAAUUGACAAAAGUUAACAUAAAUCACAAUAAGUCAUCGCCAAUCAAACCAAAAGAAUAUAUGGAUUCUAUAAAUAUAUGAAGACAUAUUGACAGAAUCAAUGAAAAUAUUUAGAGAAUUAAAAUCCACUAACCCCCCCUC
rnacentral:lncRNA from 1 species